rnacentral:lncRNA from 1 species
CAUAUAGUGAUUUGUUUUUUGUUCUUAGGACUUUAGGUUAGGUGCUAUGAAGGUAUAAGGGUUAGUAUGUCUUGGCUACUUUAGAAGAUUGCUCUACUGAAGGGGGAUGCUAACCGUCAAUUGGAUCAGGGUGUUGGUAGUAGCUAGGUAUUUAGGAGCACUAUAGACGGCCUCGAAACAUUCACCUGUUUGCAUUUAGACAGUUACAUGAAAUGGAGGACGUAAUGCUUGGGAUGAAAGUUGGGGGGAAGGGGAAGGAAGGUGCUCUUGAAAAGAAAGAAGGAGGGGGAGUUAGAUAGCAUAGAGGAGAAUGGAAAGAACAAUAAAACUUGGAAGGGGAGAGAAAGAGGGAAAAAGGGAGAGAAAAAAUAAAAUAAAAUAAGAAAUAAAAUUAGGUCUUAGAGAUCCAUUUUCUUCUCUUCCCGUAGGCAAAGCUGUGCCCUCCGGGCUGAGAUUUGCCCUCAAUGUGUCAACAGCAAUCCCUGUAAGGCGGCUCCUGGGAGUCUCUCAAUCCUGUUGGUCCAGAGCCGUUUCACUUCUACAGCCCCUCCUCCCCUUCCUCCUGCCAGCCAGCCAGGUCCUGUGCACCGGAGGAGGUUCUCCAAGGAUUUGGUUACACUUUCAGCCCCUCUGGGUGCUCUAUUUCCCUAAUGACUGAGCACUCUCUCUGUCAUUCAUCUAAGCCCCAGUGCUGUGGAGCUGUGUUCUGGGAGUCAAUAGUUUAAUUUUUCCGGACCCCUUUGGUGGGCACACCUUCGGAGUCUGGCGGCUAAGACCAUUGGUGUCGCCACUGGUGGUAAUGGGAGUUGGGGGUCGAGGAUCCCAUCUGCUUCCCUCAGCCCCUACAAUCACGACCACUCCGCUGGCAGUAGGAGGAGUUGGGGGUCUGGAGUGUCCUCUGUUUCCCUCCGCCCCUACUGUCACGCCCUCUCAGUUGGCGGUUGGGGGAGUUGGGGGUGGGGAGUCUUCUCUGCUUCCCUCCGCCCCUACAGUCACGCCCA